CAGGUCGGUCUUGGACAGCUGCAG
rnacentral:misc_RNA from 1 species